rnacentral:rRNA from 1 species
GCAUGAGACUACAGAGCUGCAUGGCUCAGUGGUCAAAGGAGCAAUCCGCUGAAAGAUGGACUCGCGUCCGAUUAGAUAGUAGGCGGGUAACGGCCCACCUAGUCGACGAUCGGUAGCCGGACUGAGAGGUUGAACGGCCACAUUGGGACUGAGACACGGCCCAGACUCCUACGGGAGGCAGCAUG